AGAGUUUGAUCCUGGCUCAGAGCGAACGCUGGUGGCGUGCUUAAUACAUGCAAGUCGAACGUGAAAGCCCCUUCGGGGGUGAGUAAAGUGGCGCCCGGGUGAGUAACACGUGGAUAAUCUACCUUAGAGCCUGGAAUAACCUGACGAAAGUCGGGCUAAUACUGGAUAGUGCGAAGAUUUCAUAAUGAGAUUUUCGGGAAAGGGAGCUGGCAACAGCCCUCACUCUUUGAUGAGUCCGCGCCCCAUUAGCUAGUUGGUAGGGUAAAAGCCUACCAAGGCUACGAUGGGUAGCUGGUCUUAGAGGAUGAUCAGCCACACUGGAACUGAAACACGGUCCAGACUCCUACGGGAGGCAGCAGUAGGGAAUAUUGCGCAAUGGACGAAAGUCUGACGCAGCAACGCCGCGUGAGUGAAGAAGGCCUUCGGGUUGUAAAGCUCUGUCAGUUGGGAAGAAAACCUUGUGGUUCAUAGCCGCAAGCUUGACGGUACCAGCAGAGGAAGCACCGGCUAACUCCGUGCCAGCAGCCGCGGUAAUACGGAGGGUGCAAGCGUUGCUCGGAAUUACUGGGCGUAAAGGGGAGGUAGGCGGUCUCGUUUGUCUGGGGUGAAAGCCCUGAGCUUAACUCAGGAAGGUCCUCAGAAACGGCGAGACUAGAGUACUGGAGAGGGUCGUGGAAUUCCCGGUGUAGCGGUGAAAUGCGUAGAGAUCGGGAGGAACACCAGAGGCGAAGGCGGCGACCUGGACAGUUACUGACACUCAACUCCGAAAGCGUGGGUAGCAAACAGGAUUAGAUACCCUGAUAGUCCACGCUGUAAACGAUGGGUACUAGAUUUGGCGGGUUUUGACCCCUGCCAAGCCGUAGCUAACGCGAUAAGUACCCCGCCUGGGGAUUACGGUCGCAAGACUAAAACUCAAAGGAAUUGACGGGGGCCCGCACAAGCGGUGGAUCAUGUGGUUUAAUUCGAAGCAACGCGAAGAACCUUACCUGGGUUUGACAUCCUCUGACAGCUCCAGAAACGGAGUUUCCGUAGUAAUACGGCAGAGUGACAGGUGCUGCAUGGCUGUCGUCAGCUCGUGUGGUGACAUGUUGGGUUAAGUCCCGCAACGAGCGCAACCCUCGUCCCUAGUUGCCAGCAUUAAGUUGGGCACUCUAUGGAUACUGCCGUGGUUAACACGGAGGAAGGUGGGGAUGACGUCAAGUCCUCAUGGCCCUUACGCCCAGGGCAACACACGUGAUACAAUGGGUGGCACAAAGAGAAGCGAGAGGGCAACCUGGAGCAAAUCUCAAAAAACCACUCUCAGUUCGGAUUGAAGUCUGCAAUUCGACUUCAUGAAGUUGGAAUCGCUAGUAAUCGCGAAUCAGCUCGUCGCGGUGAAUACGUUCCCGGGCCUUGUACAC
rnacentral:rRNA from 1 species